UAUAACAGGAAACAAAAAAAAGAAAGGAAAUUCGACUUUGAUUUUAAAGUCUACAAGGUAAAAGUCAUCUUAUCACAAAUAUAUUUAUCAGGAAGGUUUGUUGACCUCCACCUUUUUGUUCCUCUCUGUGUUUAUUCAGGAAUUUACCUUGGAAUAGAUUUAUCUCACAUUCUUCACCUUUUUCUCUAAACGUAAGAAUAGAUUCUUUACAUUAUUUGUAGCAUUACCUGUGUCUAUCUUUUUUAGGGAUCUUGUCUCAAUUAUUUCAGCAUUGUUCACACUUAUCCGACGUUGAAUGGUAGGCCGAAUUCUGAGCUUACGACGAUCAAUUGUCAGUUCCGCAGCGUUGUAAUUUUGAAACCAACUCAGAAGACAAGGGAACUCUUGGAUCAAGAAUUCGGACAAAAUGGUCUUCGUGGAGUUUUGAUGGAACUAACCGCAUUUGCACCACACGGAGAGAAACACGCUGAGAACGUCCCAUGGUUAUCCCGACGGUCAGAGGAUUCUAACCCAUGAUCACCAUUGAGGGUAAAUUUGGUAUCGCUAUCCAACAUCGUUCUCAGUAAUAUCAAAACAGAACAAGAACUACGAUUAUUUACAUUCAUAAAAUAUGAUAAUAAAAUCUUUCAAUGAUU